GGGCGCGGCCAGCGCGACUUCAAAAGGCCGCUCCCCGAUCGGGUUAUUACGUACAGUCCGGCUGGAAACUGCGAGGAGGGAGUAGGGGUUGUGUGUUGUUCUAGAAAGUCCUCGACCUUGCAGGGGUGAUAAAUUGGAAGGAGGGCAGGCGGGGCGAGUACAAUGCUGGAAAGACCCAAACACAUUUGUUUGUGACCUUAGCCAAGUGAGUUAACUUUCCACCAUGACAUCGCAUCAGUAAAAGGAGAUAUUAUUAACUCUUGCUUAAUGCGGUUUUUGAAAGGAUUAAAUGAAGUAAGGGAUGAAGCUGUGCUCAGCACAGUGACUGGCACAUAGUAGGGCCUCCACUCCAACCCAUUUUAGAAGUCAGUUUCCACCAGCGGCCAUUCUGGCUCUCCACCAGUUUUAUUCCCAUUCGUUAAGGAAAGGUUUAUUGAGGGCUUAUAAUUUGUGCUUGGAGCUGGGUACACGUAGGACUAAGACCAGAUACUGGUUUUUCAAAGAGCUUUUGAUCAUUGGGAGUCUAAGACAUUCACCUUAAAUAAUUUAUAAAACAGAGAGUGAUAAGCUACAUAAGAGAGGUUUCUGGAAAAGAUUGUGUGAGUUUACAGAGGGAGGGAAAUUACUAGUGAGAGGGACAGAAAGCAGCUUUGAAUAGCUAAAGACAUCUUUUGUGUACUUAUAUGUCAGCACAUUGGACUUAACCUGCCCGCUCGUUUGAAGAACUUGAAGUAUGUGAACGAUGGGAAAGGGCAUUCUAGACAGAGACCAGCACAAGGAGCUGCAUAAACCUAUUUCACGAAUAGAGUCCAGUUCGUAUGCUAGCAGGAAAGCAUGUUCUAAAUUUUAGAAUAAUUUCUGAUAGCGUUUAAAAUUAUGUUUACGUAAAAAUUAUGUUAAAAAUCUCCCUUGAAUAAAGGGACCCUUAGGUAGUUUGUUUUGCCUGGAAUGCAAAGUCGAUGAAAAGUAGUGGAGGAAAAGGGUUUGGAAAAAUAGGUUGGGACCAGUCUAGAGAAGGCCUUAUAAGCCAGACAGGAUUUUGACUUUAUUGUAUAAGAAUUGGAAUGCUGAGGGGAGAAAAAGACUUCUCUGUUAUGUUACAGGAAAGUUUAUCUGGCAAGGCAUUGAAUGAGUUGCAGGGAAGAGGCCAGUUAGGAGACAGUGCUUGUCACUGCUUGCACAUCAACUGGUGUGAUGCCUGGCACUGUGCAGUACUAUUUCUUAUUAGGUGAGUGCUGUUGACUGCCUGUGCUGGAACAGAGAUGGAUGUCAAGGCAGCGUAGGAGUUCGAGUGUUGAGCACUAUCUCACAAAGCAUGCAGUCAGAGAGAGGUGGGAGUCCUGUCCUUGUCUUCAGCAACUGCUCAAGAAUUGUUCAAGCACUCAUGCUGCUGGGAUGCACCAGCCCAUAGUAGUGUGGUAUGGUAACAUCACCAGACAUGGCCUGGGUUGAGAUUACAGAUUAUCAUCAAAUAGUAUGUUCUGGUCUGAUGUAUCUGAGUUCUGGUGGUUGAAAGAUAGCACACUGAGUCAGAAUUUUUAGAGCCAGAAAAAACUUUGGAGGUUAUCUAGUCCAACCCUCUUGUUUUCCUGAUAAGGAAACGGAGGCCCAGAUUGUUGUUACUUUGAACAUUGCAUGAUCAGUGAUAAAGCCGAUACUAAAAAUCAGAUCUCUUAACUUUUGCCAUUACAGUAUGGUGAAUAUAUGCAUCCUUUCUUUAUGCUUUGCUUUGUAAACCAGAAGCAGUUUAGUGAAAAGAACAUGGAUUUUUGGAGUCCGGCAGAUACAGGUUUGUAUCUCAGUUUUCCUGCUUACUGGCAAGUGAUCCUAGAGAUGUUGUGUCUCCUCUUUGGGCCUCAAUUUCCUCACCAAGAUAAUCGAGACAGAAUAGCUCACCUACAGGAUUGUUGUGAGAAUUAGAAGUAAUAUGUAAAAAGUGCAUUGUGGGGACAGCCCUGUGGCAUAGUGGCUAAAAUUCGGCGUGCUCUGCAUUGGCAGCAAGGGUUCAUGGGUUUGGAUCCCAGGUGUGGACCUACACCACUUGUCAGCCAUGCUGUGGCCGCAUCCCACAAACAAAGUAGAGGAAGGUUGGCACAGAUGUUAGCUCAGGGCUAAUCUUCCUUAAGCAAAAAAAAAAAAAAAAAAAAAGGGAUACACACACAUUAUAGAUUCUAUGGGAACACAAUGAGGAAGGAACUCAUUUUGACUGACACAAACUCUAAACAAAAUUUAGAGAUCCCUUCAGAGAAGUUGUUUAAUUUACAUUGGGUCUUGAAGAAUGAGUAGGAGUUCACUGGGAAGAGAAAGGACUGUGGGUUUUCAGGGGUGAAAAAGCACAGACGUGUGAAACAGUGCUACAGUUCUGGGAAGGGGAAAAGCAACUGCAUUGUUGUGUGGGACACAUGAAGGCCAUUGGACUGGAAAGGGGAGGAGGGACCAUAGAGGGCCUUCAUGCCUUGCUGGAGAAUUUGGAAUUUGGACUUUAUUCCCUGGGUGAUGGGAAAUCUGUGUGUGUGUGUGCGUGUGUGUUUAAAACAGCUUUAUUCAGGUAUAAUCUACGUACCACAAAAUUCACCCAUUGUAGUUGUAUUAUUCACUGCUUUUUAGUACAUGUACAGUUUUGGAACCAUCAACACUACCAAGUUUUAGCAAAUUUCCAUUACCCUGAAAAACCCUUUGUGCCCACUUUCAGGUAAUCUCUCUUCCCACCUCCAGCUCCAGGCAGACACGAAUCUGCUCUCACGAUAUAUAGCUUUGCCUUUUCUGGACAGUUCAUAUAGAUGAAAUCAUACAAUACAUAGUCUUUUGCAUCUGGAUUCUUUCUCUUGGCAGAAUAAUUUUGAGCGUCAUCCAUGCUGUAGCAGGUAUUUAUUGUUGUUUUGGCGCUGAAUAGUAGCGCACUAAUGGAUAUGCCCUAUUUUGUUUAUCUGUUUGACAGUUGAUGGACAUUAGAUGGUUUACACUUUUUGACUAUUAUGAGUGAUGUUGCUAUGAACAUUUGUAUACAAGUCUUCAUGGGAACUUUGUGUUUUCAUUUCUCUUGGACAGAUACCUGGGAGUGGAAUUGUUGGGUUGUGUGGUAAUUUAUGUUUAACUUUAUAGGAUAUUGCCAAACUGUUUUCCAAAGUGAUUGUACCAUUUUAUUCUGUGGGUUUUUAAGCAGAAGAAAGAUUCAGUUUUCCAUUUCUGCUAAACUGAGAAACAAACUCAGAAGUUGAGUGGGAAGCCAGUUUCAUUUUCAAAGAAUGUAUAACAGUAGAUACUUAUUUUGAAUUUAUAAAAUGUUUCAUUGGAACCAAAAUUUUAAAAAGAACUCUUAAAACUGUAACCCCCUGGCUAAGUUAUCACUAGAUGUGUAUUUCUUCUUGUGGACCCAAUCAAGACAGAGAAAUGUGUGAGAUCGUCUAUUUUUUAUCAGUACCAAGUCGUUUUCCUAUCCCUCAGCUAAUGAGGUUCCUUUGCUUGAUUUAGGGUAAACUUGGCCUUGGAGAGUUUGUGGUGUGGUAACCCCUUCAGUCAGAGAUUUGCUUCAUGAAUUUACAAUCAUCUAUAAGGUCCUUUCAAAACGAGAAUCCAGAAAUAGCCCUCCAUUGAAAGGGGUUUCAAUCUAGUAAUUGAUUCAGAAAUUAUUGGGGGGAAUUCUGUUACCAGGGGUGGUUUGUUCAAAUCAGGCUUUUCAGCAAUAAAUGGUAUUUCAAGUGGGGAGGGAAUUAUCAUCACUCCUGAAAACCAGCAAAAUACUCUGACGCAGGAUAUGCUGCAUCAGAACAGAAUGGCUAAAGUGUUCAAAUUUUUCUACUCAGAAGAUAAUCUUUUCUAAACUAUAUUUUGUUAUGUUCUGUAUUGCGUGGUCUUUGGCCUAAAAAAAGACCCAGAAAUAACUAUUCAUCUGAACGCUGUUUUUUUCUAGGGAGUGACUAACCAUCUCACAGAGAGAGUUUGAGAAAGUAGAGAUAAUUCCAAGCAGGAUAAUUAAACAAUUAUUUAUAUUUGUCGUUAGAAUGUAGUGUCUAUUUUAUGGGAGGGAUAAAGAAAGAAUGGUAGAAGAGGUACAUGUGAGACUUGUUAGAAAGUUACUAUCCUAAUUAAUUUGGGGUGAGCCUAACAUUAAAAUUUUUGUUCUCUAAGCACAGAACAUUUAAUAGUCGAAGCAACUUCUCCUCCACAAAGAGGAAGUCACUUUGGAAUUCAAAAUGUUGUUUGGGAAGUCCAAGUGGGUAAACAACACAUGAAUUGCUGAGACAUGACUUUAUUUCACUGGAGUCAAUAUUUCCCCUCCUGAGGAGAAGAAAAAUCCAGAAUCAAAGGAAAUGCCCAAAGACUGGUUUGUUAUCUCUUUCCAACAUCAGAGAUAAAUGACUAUAGGAAAAAACCAGGAUUUUUCUCCAGCUCACAACUGAUGUUAUAGUGAAAGGAUAGAGGGCCUGUUAAUCUAGCAAGAGGCUUUAAGAAAAGUUGGGAGUCCAUCAUUGUGAUUCUUCUGGGACUCAGGAGGGUUCUCUUGACAAAAAUUCCUUCCUUACUCCCAUGUUCUUGAAAUCCCUAAAGCACAGAGACAUCUUUUUAUCCUUCCUGUCUCUGGUGACUUACGUGACGUUAACGGCCUGUUCUGGACUGUCGCUUUGAGCACUACUGGACCCCAUCUUCAGUUUCUUGUUCAAAAGGGGAAGCCACCGUGCAGAGCUGCAUCUCGGCACGUCAGCAGUUACUCUCCCCAGCACAGGAGCGUGGUCCUUUCACAGACCUGUCAUGAGAAGCAGAGGCCUGCUCUGCACUGGCCCGUUUGAUCCAAGUGCACACUGAAAGUGGAAGUCGAAGUGUGAAGGGCUAGACCUUUUGAUCUUGUCUCAUGAAACAAAGUUUCGUAGUAACGGUAGCAACCAAGACAAACCUAUGGUCAGGUCUUACUGACUAGUCUAUUACUUUUGCUUUCUCUCCAAGAGUUUAUUAAUAACCUGACACUUGUUCUCCUUUCUGAUUCCCCCAUGAGAUCAUUACAAACAGAACUGUCAGAAGUCCCUCUUAGACUCUCGUUUAAGUACCCUUCUUGAAGGGGAGCAAGCUAAUCCACAAUGGAGAGGACUCAAUAAAAUAAACAGCUGGAAAUAAGCAGACUACUGUAAGAGUGAGUUGAAAAGAAAACCCAAUAAUGAAAGCCAAAAAGUUAACUGUAUAGAGAUGUGCAGAACAACAUUAAAUAUUAUGACUCAAAAGCAGGGACGAAGGUAAAUUUGAAAGAAGAGUAAGAGAGAAAAUGUUUACAGGCCAUUACAAGUUCUUAAGUUAAUAGUAAAUAAGGAAUCAAUUGCUCAAGUUGAAGAAAGCAGUAAACAAGAGAUUGCAUUUACAUGCAGAUGUCUAAAAUUUGUAUUUUUUUAAGUCUAUGCACAAAAGUCAUUUGUUUUAUUGCUUGACAUUCAGUUAUGGCUAGAUUAUUUAACCUAUUUUUUUUGUACUUUGGAAACAAGAAUAUUGUUAAAGGUGCCAUAAAAAUGGACAACAUUGAAAACGGUUUGCAAAUAAACCACCUAACACUGCAGUUCUUUCUACAUGUUAAAAGCCUUGUCUGGGGUUUGUCAUAUGUUAAAUAUAUUUAAACUGGGAAAAUAUGUUGUAGCUUGAAGCCUCCCAUUGGCCCAAACAUCCAAUACAAAAACACAUCUCCACAAAAGGAGCAGGCAGACAAUACAGGUACAUUUAAAGAAGCAGCCAGCUAAUGUCCUAAUGGUUAAAAAUUUACCACUGUUUUAUAUGAGAUUUCGAACCACUGUGGAUAAGAAGAGAAUUUUUGGAUUCAGGAAGAUGUGUACAGUACAUAUGGAUUUUUUUUGUGAAAUCAUAUUCACUAUAUUGCUCAAGAAUUAUCUGCAUUUACGUCUGCAAUCUGUUCAAUGAUAACCAAGUUCCUAGAAAUAGUAUUCAUCCACAUUAAAGUAACAACGAGUGAGCAAGGAAUCACACACAAACACUGGAGAGAAUUUAGUUGCUCGCAGAGAACAACACAAUGUCAUGUGCCACAUGUCAAAGCUAGUAGCAAGCUCUCUUUCAUUAGUUCUUAGAAGGAAAAAAGAAAAAGAAGUGUGAUACUGCUGAUGUGGCAAACACGCUAAACGUCAACAGCAAACACGAUUCUCUAGGCAUGUAUCUAAAAUAGAUUCACUUUCUCAACACAAGAGUCCAUGCUAUGUUGCAUUGUGGAAAAAAGGUGGUUUCUAUUUGGACUGAAUAUUCUGUCGUUCAUUUAUAAAUAAAUAAAUGACUGAAUGUCUUUAUUGCUCUAAGUUCUGAGGGUCUGGUUAAAUAUGGAGAUCCCCCAUCUACGGUGUUUCCUUGGCAUGAAACCAGGCUUCUGGGUUAUUUUUAAAAUUGUUCUGAGAGCCUGGUAAAACUGAUCUCACUUACACAAACAAACAAGCAAAUGGACCCAGAAGUGAACCCAAUUGCUCUGUAAAGACAUUGCUCGCCAGCUUUCUCAUCUCUUAAGAAUAAACAAUAAUAGGAAGGUCUCUCUAAUAAAAUCUGGUGGAUUCUCUUUAACGAUACUAGUAUUUAGAGAUAGAAUGAAGAUCUAUAUCAAUAGACUAUUAGCAAUAGAUAAGAUUUCCUGUGCAAUUGCAUUUCCGGGCACAUAAUGUGAACUAUAGUAUAAAGUUGUUUUUGUAGGGUUCUGCUGUGUCAUAUCUUUAUAAAUAAAAAGUGGCAAUAAAAUGUUACAAUAUGUAAAAAUGUCAAUAACCUCUGUGUGUGUAUAUAUGUAUACGCAUGGAGAGAGAGAAAGAGAGAGAGAUUUCUGCCAUUUUCUGUAGUCUUUAUCAAAAAUAACAAGAUAACGCUUUCUUUUUUAUCUAAACGACAUUGAAAGUUUUCCCAAAUUAUGCUCUCCUGUGUUAGGAAGAAAAUAUGUAGAUUUUUUCUGAAUGUGUAUCACAGGUGUAGAAAAAUCAAAACCAACAAUUACACUGAGGUGCGCUGACUUUAUGGAAAAUAAUAUAUGGAAAUAUGAGAACAAAACUGUAUUUCAAAAAUGUAAAAUGGAACCCUGAAAGCUGGCUCAUGUUGCUGUUAUCCAAGUGUGUUUUGUUUGUCUUUAAACAUUAGCUCUCAGUAGAUAAAAACUACAAAUGUGGAAGUAGAAGAAUUGUGUCACAUAAAGGGAUUUUUUGGUUUGCUUCUAAAGGAGAACACAGUGAAAAUAACAGUUAUCUGCUGGUAUUUAAAAGACGUGUUUCAUCUUUUACCUCUCUCACUGCACUGAUAGGCAGGGCUCUCAUCUCAUUACUGGUUUCUAAAAUUUUUAUCCAUACUAUGUCGAAU
rnacentral:lncRNA from 1 species